AUUGAACGCUGGCGGCAGGCUUAACACAUGCAAGUCGAGCGGAGCGAGGGUGCUUGCACCUUAGCUUAGCGGCGGACGGGUGAGUAAUGCUUAGGAAUCUGCCUAUUAGUGGGGGACAACAUUCCGAAAGGAAUGCUAAUACCGCAUACGCGCUACGGGGGAAAGCAGGGGAUCUUCGGACCUUGCGCUAAUAGAUGAGCCUAAGUCGGAGUAGCUAGUUGGUGGGGUAAAGGCCUACCAAGGCGACGAUCUGUAGCGGGUCUGAGAGGAUGAUCCGCCACACUGGGACUGAGACACGGCCCAGACUCCUACGGGAGGCAGCAGUGGGGAAUAUUGGACAAUGGGCGGAAGCCUGAUCCAGCCAUGCCGCGUGUGUGAAGAAGGCCUUUUGGUUGUAAAGCACGUUAAGCGAGGAGGAGGCUACUUAGAUUAAUACUCUGGGAUAGUGGACGUUACUCGCAGAAUAAGCACCGGCUAACUCUGUGCCAGCAGCCGCCGUAA
rnacentral:rRNA from 1 species